AUUGAACGCUGGCGGCAGGCCUAACACAUGCAAGUCGAACGAGUGGCGGACGGGUGAGUAAUGUCUGGGAAACUGCCUGAUGGCGGGGGAUCACUUCUGGAAACGGUAGCUAAUACCGCAUACCAUCAGAUGUGCCCAGAUGGGAUUGGCGUGUUGGUGGGGUGACGGGUCACCAAGGCGACGAUCCCUAGCUGGUCUGAGAGGAUGACCAGCACCACGGGAACCAAGACACGGUCCCGACUCCUACGUGCGGCAGCAGUGGGGAAGAUUGCACAAUGGGCGCAAGCCUGAUGCAGCCAUGCCGCGUGUAUGAAGAAGGCCUUCGGGUUGUAAAGUACUUUCAGCGGGGAGGCGUUACCCGCAGAGGAAGCACCGGCUAACUCCGUGCCAGCAGCCGCGGUAAUAC
rnacentral:rRNA from 1 species